rnacentral:rRNA from 1 species
CAGUAGCCGCGGUAAUACGAAGGGGGCUAGCGUUGCUCGGAAUUACUGGGCGUAAAGGGCGCGUAGGCGGCGCUCCAAGUUAGGCGUGAAAUUCCCGGGCUCAACCUGGGGACUGCGCUUAAGACUGGAGUGCUUGAGGAUGGAAGAGGGUUGUGGAAUUCCCAGUGUAGAGGUGAAAUUCGUAGAUAUUGGGAAGAACACCGGUGGCGAAGGCGGCAACCUGGUCCAUUACUGACGCUGAGGCGCGAUAGCGUGGGGAGCAAACAGGAUUAGAUACCCGCGUAGUCCCUGUCUCUUAUAU